rnacentral:rRNA from 1 species
GAUGAACGCUGGCGGCGUGCCUAAUACAUGCAAGUCGAGCGAACAGAUAAGGAGCUUGCUCCUUUGACGUUAGCGGCGGACGGGUGAGUAACACGUGGGUAACCUACCUAUAAGACUGGAAUAACUCCGGGAAACCGGGGCUAAUGCCGGAUAACAUGUUGAACCGCAUGGUUCUACAGUGAAAGGCGGCUUUGCUGUCACUUAUAGAUGGACCUGCGCCGUAUUAGCUAGUUGGUGAGGUAACGGCUCACCAAGGCAACGAUACGUAGCCGACCUGAGAGGGUGAUCGGCCACACUGGAACUGAGACACGGUCCAGACUCCUACGGGAGGCAGCAGUAGGGAAUCUUCCGCAAUGGGCGAAAGCCUGACGGAGCAACGCCGCGUGAGUGAUGAAGGUCUUCGGAUCGUAAAACUCUGUUAUUAGGGAAGAACAAAUGCGUAAGUAACUGUGCGCGUCUUGACGGUACCUAAUCAGAAAGCCACGGCUAACUACGUG